GGAUUGUGGCUGAGAGGUAGAGUACUCACCUAGCACGUGCGAGGACCUGGGUUCGAUCCUCAGCACCA
rnacentral:tRNA from 1 species